CCAGACUCCUACGGGAGGCAGCAGUGAGGAAUAUUGGUCAAUGGCCGGAAGGCUGAACCAGCCAAGCCGCGUGAGGGAGGAAGGCGCAGAGCGUCGCAGACCUCUUUUGUCGGGGGACAAAAGGCCGGACUCGUCCGGUCCUGAGGGUACCCGGAGAAAAAGCAUCGGCUAACUCCGUGCCAGCAGCCGCGGUAAUACGGAGGAUGCGAGCGUUAUCCGGAUUCAUUGGGUUUAAAGGGUGCGCAGGCGGGAGAUCAAGUCAGCGGUAAAAUGUCGGGGCUCAACCCCGGCCGGCCGCUGAAACUGGUUUUCUAGAGUUGGAGAGAAGUAUGCGGAAUUCGUGGUGUAGCGGUGAAAUGCAUAGAUAUCACGAAGAACUCCGAUUGCGAAGGCAGCAUACCGGCUCCAUACUGACGCUGAGGCACGAAAGCGUGGGGAUCGAACAGGAUUAGAUACCCCUGUAACG
rnacentral:rRNA from 1 species